UUUGACCUCCAAUCAGGUAGGACUACCCGCUGAACUUAAGCAUAUCAAUAAGCGGAGGAAAAGAAACUAACAAGGAUUCCCCUAGUAACUGCGAA
rnacentral:rRNA from 1 species